rnacentral:rRNA from 1 species
UACGUAGGGUGCAAGCGUUAAUCGGAAUUACUGGGCGUAAAGCGUGCGCAGGCGGUUAUGCAAGACAGAUGUGAAAUCCCCGGGCUCAACCUGGGAACUGCAUUUGUGACUGUAGAGCUGGAGUACGGCAGAGGGGGAUGGAAUUCCGCGUGUAGCAGUGAAAUGCGUAGAUAUGCGGAGGAACACCGAUGGCGAAGGCAAUCCCCUGGGCCUGUACUGACGCUCAUGCACGAAAGCGUGGGGAGCAAACAGG